CAGCCGCCGCGGUAAUACGGAGGGGGCUAGCGUUGUUCGGAAUUACUGGGCGUAAAGCGCACGUAGGCGGCUUGGUAAGUUAGAGGUGAAAGCCCGGAGCUCAACUCCGGAAUUGCCUUUAAGACUGCCGAGCUAGUAGGUGAGAGAGGUAAGUGGAAUUCCGAGUGUAGAGGUGAAAUUCGUAGAUGUUGGGAAGAACACCGGUGGCGAAGGCGGCGACCUGGUCCUUGACUGACGCUGAGGCGCGAAAGCGUGGGGAGCAAACAGGAUUAGAUACCCCCGUAGUCCAUGUCUCUUAUAA
rnacentral:rRNA from 1 species